GAUGAACGCUGGCGGCGUGCCUAAUACAUGCAAGUCGAGCGAACAGACGAGGAUCUUUCUCCUCUUACGUUAGCGGCGGACGGGUGAGUAACACGUGUAUAACCUACCUAUAAGACUGGGAUAACUUCGGGAAACCGGAUCUAAUACCGGAUAAUAUAUUGAACCGCAUGGUUCAAUAGUGACAGACGGUUUUGCUGUCACUUAUAGAUGGAUCCGCGCCGCAUUAGCUAGUUGGUAAGGUAACGGCUUACCAAGGCAACGAUGCGUAGCCGACCUGAGAGGGUGAUCGGCCACACUGGAACUGAGACACGGUCCAGACUACUACGGGAGGCAGCAGUAGGGAAUAUUGCGCAAUGGGCGAAAGCCUGACGGAGCAACGCCGCGUGAGUGAUGAAGGUCUUCGGAUCGUAAAACUCUGUUAUUAGGGAAGAACAAAUGUGUGAGUAACUAUGCACGUCUUGACGGUACCAAAACAGAAAGCAACGGCUAACUACGUG
rnacentral:rRNA from 1 species